rnacentral:rRNA from 1 species
AAUAGAUACCCGGGUAGUCCACGCCGUAAACGAUGAGUGCUAAGUGUUGGGGGUUUCCGCCCCUCAGUGCUGCAGCUAACGCAUUAAGCACUCCGCCUGGGGAGUACGGCCGCAAGGCUGAAACUCAAAGGAAUUGACAGGGGCCCGCACAAGCGGUGGAGCAUGUGGUUUAAUUCGAAGCAACGCGAAGAACCUUACCGGGUCUUGACAUCCCGCUGCCCGGUAUAGAGAUAUAUCUUUCCCUUCGGGGACAGCGGUGACAGGUGGUGCAUGGUUGUCGUCAGCUCGUGUCGUGAGAUGUUGGGUUAAGUCCCGCAACGAGCGCAACCCUUGAUCUUAGUUGCCAGCAUUUAGUUGGGCACUCUAAGGUGACUGCCGGUGACAAACCGGAGGAAGGUGGGGAUGACGUCAAAUCAUCAUGCCCCUUAUGACCUGGGCUACACACGUGCUACAAUGGAUGGUACAAAGGGCUGCAAGACCGCGAGGUUUAGCCAAUCCCAUAAAACCAUUCUCAGUUCGGAUUGCAGGCUG